rnacentral:rRNA from 1 species
UACGGAGGGUGCAAGCGUUGUCCGGAAUCACUGGGCGUAAAGGGCGCGUAGGCGGCCAUUCAAGUCGGGGGUGAAAGCCUGUGGCUCAACCACAGAAUUGCCUUCGAUACUGUUUGGCUUGAGUAUGGCAGAGGUCAGUGGAACUGCGAGUGUAGAGGUGAAAUUCGUAGAUAUUCGCAAGAACACCAGUGGCGAAGGCGGCUGACUGGGCCAUUACUGACGCUGAGGCGCGAAAGCGUGGGGAGAAAACAGG